rnacentral:rRNA from 1 species
GGGUUGUGAGGUUAAGCGACUAAGCGUACACGGUGGAUGCCCUGGCAGUCAGAGGCGAUGAAGGGCGUGCUAAUCUGCGAUAAGCGCCGGUAAGGUGAUAUGAACCGUUAUAACCGGCGAUACCCGAAUGGGGAAACCCAGUGUGACUCGUCACACUAUCAUUAACUGAAUCCAUAGGUUAAUGAGGCGAACCGGGGGAACUGAAACAUCUAAGUACCCCGAGGAAAAGAAAUCAACCGAGAUUCCCCCAGUAGCGGCGAGCGAACGGGGAGGAGCCCAGAGCCUGAAUCAGCAUGUGUGUUAGUGGAAGCGUCUGGAAAGGCGCGCGAUACAGGGUGACAGCCCCGUACACAAAAGCGCAUGUGCUGUGAGCUCGAUGAGUAGGGCGGGACACGUGGUAUCCUGUCUGAAUAUGGGGGGACCAUCCUCCAAGGCUAAAUACUCCUGACUGACCGAUAGUGAACCAGUACCGUGAGGGAAAGGCGAAAAGAACCCCGGCGAGGGGAGUGAAAAAGAACCUGAAACCGUGUACGUACAAGCAGUGGGAGCCCCACCACCAAAGCAUUUGCUGUACCGCGUUGACGGAGCGAAGCGACGUCAAACCGAUAAAACAGCAGUGUAAAGUGAGCCGCAGG